UGAGUAACCUGCCCUGGACUUUGGGAUAACCCUCGGAAACGGGGGCUAAUACCGGAUAUGACGGCUCACCGCAUGGUGUGGUUGUGGAAAGUUUUUCGGUCUGGGAUGGGCUCGCGGCCUAUCAGCUUGUUGGUGGGGUGAUGGCCUACCAAGGCGACGACGGGUAGCCGGCCUGAGAGGGCGACCGGCCACACUGGGACUGAGACACGGCCCAGACUCCUACGGGAGGCA
rnacentral:rRNA from 1 species